UCUUCUUGGGGAUGUCAAGAACACUGGAGGUACAAAGGUUGCUCUUCCUCCUUUAAAUGUGCUGUGCUAUAAAGAUGGCUCAUUCACACCUUCAUAGGACGCACUUUGAAUUUUUCGCUGCUGGAAACAGAAAGGGGGAAAAUAUUUUGCAUGAGAAUCCGCAGAGCUUGUGAGGCUCCAGAUCAGACUCAGAGCUGGAGCUUCUCUACCUCUGCUGUAUCUGGGACUGAAGAUGAAAAUGCUCAAAAGUCUGUACGCGCAGCCCACCACGAAGCGGACGGGCAUUUGGGUGGCACGUAACCUCUGUGAUACAUGGAUUGCUGGGAUCCCUCGCUGCUGCCAAAUCUAAUGGUUUAAAGCAAAGGCCUGGUUCCUCUGAAAACAGCAGUAAAAUUUCUGGUGAUUCAGAUGGCGGCAUGGUUUCACCCCUCAGCUUGACGAUGGGAAUACUCACUGACGUACCUCAGCUGCUGAGUUCAAGCACACAAACCUGCAGGCAACAGUCUUGUUCUCAGCUACUGCUAGAGUGACAUAAGGCGGACUUUUUGGCCAUGAAAAGUUAGCUUUAUUGCAGCCUUCAGAGCAAAAUGUAACUCCACACUUUUGCAUUAGCUUUCCUAAAUUAAUUUCUUCAAAGACAAGAAACAAAAAUUAAAAAAAAAAAAACAAAAAACAAAAAACCCAAAACAGAAAUUUUAUAUCUUAGCUUAGAUAUAAAUGUCAAACAAUGCCACCCUAAAAAAUCUGCCCAGAAGUGCAGAGUAACACUAUGUCUGAUCAUUAUGUGAUGUUGGUUUUUAAUCUGGUAGAUGUAAAAGAGCUCCCCUUUUAAUUGUUAGCCUAGUUGCAACGUCUUGUUGCUGACAUUUUCAGAAAUUCCACUAACAAGGCUAGCUAAAAGAACUGCUGUUUUUAAGCUAAAAUGGUAAUAGUACUUGUAUCAGAGCCUCAACUACACCAGUCAGAGUAGGUCCAUUGAUUUCAGCAGAGUUGUAACUACUACCCCUGAUUAAUGUACCGAAGUACCAAAAUAGUUUUCAUUAGGUAACUUCCUAAAGUAGAUCUUAUAGAUUUGUCCUCAUCUAGGACAGAGAACAGCGGUAAAAACUCGAGAAUAUGAAAUGCUUAUUUUUCCUUUCAUAAAUAGAAUCUGCUGUGCCUUCAGCACACACUCCAUCCCAGCAUUGCUUCACAGACACAAGGUAUUCUAGAAGGCGAUCCCUCCCCAGCUUCUCCAGUAAAGCUGUACAGUGCUCAUGAUUUAUCACCGGGUUAUUUGGGAAUGUCUUUAAUAGGUGCAUCUUAACCAUUUUCAAGAUACAGGUUAAGACUCAGGCUCUGUUUCAUCUCCAGUGGUAACAAGUUCUGUAGCUCCAGGCCUUCUGUUAAGAAUGCCUGUGCUGUUCCCUACCAGUUACAUCACCCUGUUCAUCCCAAUUACAUAUACUGCAGCUGAUGUAGUGCUUUAAUAAUUUGUUUUAUUUGUGCACUGAUUAAAAAUUUCUAGAUCAAACAUUUAAUGAAAAGCUCUCCAACCUGACAGGUUUGCUGCUGAAUGCGGUCAUUUACAACUCAAACCUUAUAAUAACCAGAGCAAGUGUUGGAAAAGCUGUUCAUGCCAAAUGCUCAGCAACUGACACACACAAUUCUGUAUCUUUUCAUUCAGGCCUUUUUUUUUAAAAAAAAAAAAAAAAAAUCUGAGACCUAAUUAUAUUGGUUGUAACUGUUCUGAAACGAAUGGUGACAGGAACUAAUACUUGUUUAUUUUCUUUCCUGACAAGUGUUCUGAACAAAAACAGUUUCUAGACAUGAUGGAAUGACUUUUCCUAUGACUCAGACACAUUCAACGAAAUAAAGUUUGAAGAAAUCGGA